rnacentral:rRNA from 1 species
AGCAGCCGCGGUAAUUCCAGCUCCAAUAGCGUAUAUUAAAGUUGUUGCAGUUAAAAAGCUCGUAGUUGAAUUUCGGGAUCAAUACGUCGGUCGUGCUUCGGUACGUACUGGCGUAAUUGAUUUCUCCCUUCUGACGAACCAUGAUGUCAUUAACUUGGUGUCAUGGGAAAUCAGGACUGUUACUUUGAAAAAAUUAGAGUGUUUAAAGCAAGCUAACGCUUGAAUACAUUAGCAUGGAAUAAUGAAAUAGGACGUUCGAUCCUAUUUUUGUUGGUUUCUAGGAUUGACGUAAUGAUUAAUAGGGAUAGUUGGGGGCAUUAGUAUUCAAUUGUCAGAGGUGAAAUUCUUGGAUUUAUUGAAGACUAACUACUGCGAAAGCAUUUGCCAAGGAUGUUUUCAUUAAUCAAGAACGAAAGUUAGGGGAUCGAAGACGAUCAGAUACCGCCGUAGUCUUAACCAUAAACUAUGCCGACUAGGGAUCGGAUGAUGUUAAUUUUUAAUGUACUCAUUCGGC